rnacentral:rRNA from 1 species
UUAAAAAGCUCGUAGUUGAAUUUCGGAAUUUGUCGGUUGGUCGGGCUUCACUGUCCGCACUGACCUGAUGGAUUCCUACCUUCUGAAUAACCAGCAUGCUAUUAAGUUAGUGCGUUGGGGAAGCAGAGCUAUUACCUUGAAAAAAUUAGAGUGCUUAAAGCAGGCUUGUGCUUGAAUAGAUUAGCAUGGAAUAAUAAAAUAGGACGGCAUGGUUCUAUUUUGUUGGUUUCUAGGAUCACCGUAAUGAUUAAUAGGGAUAGUUGGGGG